rnacentral:piRNA from 1 species
UGGAAGAAGCUGCACUUGGCCACAGGA